AUAUUGCAACAGUUUAUAUUUUUAUGUUGUAUUGUCUAUUUCAGUAUUUUGAUAAUUUCUGCGCCGAGAAAUAAUUUUAUCGUGAAAGAACCAAUCAUCCUCUUCUAUAUUUUUCUCGACAGGUUAAUCCAAAUGAGCAGGUCAACCAUCACUUCAUAGCAUUCAUAGAGAAAGAUGGUGAACUGUACGAAUUAGAUGGAAGAAAGGAAUUUCCAAUUAACCAUGGCCCUACUACAAAAGAUACAUUUGUAGAAGAUGCUGCAAGAGUUUGUAAAGCAUUCAUCGAGAGAGACUCUGAAGACAUCAAUUUCACCAUAAUGGCUCUGGUCGAAGCUGACUUUUAGGAAUGCAUCUGAAAUCUCAGUUUGGAAAGCUUAAUGCUUAAUCAGGUUUUUUUUUAUGAUGAAUUCGUUAAUUUAUUUUUAGAAAGAUAUUUCUAUUUCACUAUGUGAGCUCGGCUUUAUGCAUGCCUUGCUUCUUUUGACUAUGCUUUAAAUUCUUUGAUAGACUUAUAUAAACACGAACAACAUGUGAUAUGCAUAAUGGAACCAAAUAAAUUAUUGUCACUUUCAGUAA